rnacentral:lncRNA from 14 species
CCCUUUCUUCUGAAUCUCAUUAGAGCCCUUUGAUGAGCUGUGUGUGAAAGAGUUCCACAAAUAUGGAUUACAGGCAACUCUUCAAGAUCUGUUUUGAAAGGAUGUAUGUGAUAUUGAGGUAGUUGGAACCUGCAUACAAAGAGAAUAGGAUUCACUGUCCUCAAACUGAAGUUCAAGUUCCUGCUACCCAAACGAACCUGGAGAAUAACUGUUGAGUCUAAAGUCGUGGUAGAAUCAGAAAACACAUUGCUCUGAUCCUAAACUCAAGAGAUUCA